GGUGGCUCAAUGGUAGAGUGCUUGCCUUGCAUGCAUGAGGCCCUGGGUUCAAUUCCUCAGUACCA
rfam:Dipodomys ordii contig_41020, whole genome shotgun sequence.